ACGGAGAGGUGGGAUGACGUCAAAUCAUCAUGCCCCUUACGUCCAGGGCUACACACGUGCUACAAUGGCCGAUACAGAGGGCAGCUACCUGGUGACAGGAUGCAAAUCUCCAAAGUCGGUCUCAGUUCGGAUCGGAGUCUGCAACCCGACUCCGUGAAGUUGGAUUCGCUAGUAAUCGCGCAUCAGCCAUGGCGCGGUGAAUACGUUCCCGGGCCUU
rnacentral:rRNA from 1 species